UAACCUUAAGUGUCUCGAGCUUCAGUCAGACUCUACACAAGCUUCUUCCUCUCUCUGUCGCACGAACAGCUUCUUCUCUCCGUCGCGCGAACAACUUCUUCUCUCCGUCGCACGAGCUUUUUCCGCCGUUGCCGCCGUUCGCGUCGCACGAGCUUCCUCCGCCGCCGCUCUCGUCGCAUCUGCUCCCUUCAUCGCCGUCAUCACAGAGCUCUCUCUUGUCGCGUUUGCUCCCUUAGUGAAUUUCAGGUUUAUCAAUUAUUUUAUUAUCAACGAAGAAAGAGAUUUUUUGUCGAUCAUUUCUGCAGCAAUUUGUGAAACUCGGUGGUUGUUGUUGAAUGGCGAAGUUUGGAAUGAUAGUUGACUCUGUUGGUAACUUCUUCUCCGACAAAGACUAGCUUCCCUAGUGUGACCCUGACAUCGUCGCUGGGUGUGAGAGAGAGGUUGCUGAGGCUGGGAAGCAAUCCAAUGAUUUUGUUCCCCAGAUGCUGGUUCAAUAUCCAAGUAGUAGUGAUCUGACACACAUCAAAGAUUCAAGCGAGAAUUUCAGGCAAACAAACUGAGGCAAGACACUGCUUGACAACCAAAUCCAAUGAUUCGGAGGAUUCUUUAACUGAUGGGAGCAGAAGUAACCUUUUGGAAGUUAAUG